rnacentral:rRNA from 1 species
UACGGGGGGGGCAAGCGUUGUUCGGAAUUACUGGGCGUAAAGGGCUCGUAGGCGGCCAACUAAGUCGGACGUGAAAUCCCCAGGCUCAACCUGGGAACUGCGUCCGAUACUGGAUGGCUUGAAUUCGGGAGAGGGAUGCAGAAUUCCAGGUGUAGCGGUGAAAUGCGUAGAUAUCUGGAGGAAUACCGGUGGCGAAGGCGGCAUCCUGGACCGACAUUGACGCUGAUG